rnacentral:rRNA from 1 species
AGAGUUUGAUCCUGGCUCAGAGCGAACGCUGGCGGCGUGCUUAACACAUGCAAGUCGAGUGCGCGUUCCUGUAGCAAUACAGGAAUGGCGCACGGCGCACGGGUGCGUAACACGUGGGCAAUCUGCCCUCCGAUGGGGAAUAACCCCGCGAAAGCGGGGCUAAUACCGCAUAACAUUCCGGGAACCCUGGUUUCCGAAAUCAAAGCCGCAAGGCGUCGGAGGUGGAGCCCGCGCACGAUUAGCUAGUUGGCAGGGUAACGGCCUACCAAGGCGAUGAUCGUUAGCUGGUCUGAGAGGAUGGCCAGCCACACUGGAACUGAGACACGGUCCAGACUCCUACGGGAGGCAGCAGUGGGGAAUCUUGCGCAAUGGGCGAAAGCCUGACGCAGCGACGCCGCGUGGGGGAUGAAGCUUCUCGGAGUGUAAACCCCUUUCGACCGGGAAGAAUACCUCGCAAGAGGGGUGACGGUACCGGUAGAAGAAGCCCCGGCUAACUACGUGCCAGCAGCCGCGGUAAGACGCAGGGGGCCAGCGUUGCUCGG